ACCGAAAUAGCUCAGUUGAGAGAGCGUUAGACUAUAGAUGUAAAGGCGCCUGGUUCGAUCCCGGGAUUUGGCA
rnacentral:tRNA from 1 species